rnacentral:rRNA from 1 species
UACGUAGGGUGCGAGCGUUAAUCGGAAUUACUGGGCGUAAAGCGUGCGCAGGCGGUUUGUUAAGACAGAUGUGAAAUCCCCGGGCUUAACCUGGGAACUGCAUUUGUGACUGGCAAGCUAGAGUAUGGCAGAGGGGGGUAGAAUUCCACGUGUAGCAGUGAAAUGCGUAGAGAUGUGGAGGAAUACCGAUGGCGAAGGCAGCCCCCUGGGCCAAUACUGACGCUCAUGCACGAAAGCGUGGGGAGCAAA